GGGCAUUUGGUCUAGGUGGUAUGAUUCUCGCUUAGGGUGCGAGAGGUCCUGAGUUCAACUCUCAGAAUGCCCC